rnacentral:rRNA from 1 species
ACAGCUUGCUCUCUGGAUCAGUGGCGAACGGGUGAGUAACACGUGAGCAAUCUGCCCCUGACUCUGGGAUAACAGCUGGAAACAGCUGCUAAUACCGGAUACGAGCUGCGAAGGCAUCUUCAGCAGCUGGAAAGAAUUUCGGUCAGGGAUGAGCUCGCGGCCUAUCAGCUUGUUGGUGAGGUAAUGGCUCACCAAGGCGUCGACGGGUAGCCGGCCUGAGAGGGUGACCGGCCACACUGGGACUGAGACACGGCCCAGACUCCUACGGGAGGCAGCAGUGGGGAAUAUUGCACAAUGGGCGAAAGCCUGAUGCAGCAACGCCGCGUGAGGGACGACGGCCUUCGGGUUGUAAACCUCUUUUAGCAAGGAAGAAGCGAAAGUGACGGUACUUGCAGAAAAAGCGCCGGCUAACUACGUGCCAGCAGCCGCGGUAAUACGUAGGGCGCAAGCGUUAUCCGGAAUUAUUGGGCGUAAAGAGCUCGUAGGCGGUUUGUCGCGUCUGCUGUGAAAACCCGAGGCUCAACCUCGGGCCUGCAGUGGGUACGGGCAGACUAGAGUGCGGUAGGGGAGAUUGGAACUCCUGGUGUAGCGGUGGAAUGCGCAGAUAUCAGGAAGAACACCGAUGGCGAAGGCAGAUCUCUGGGCCGUAACUGACGCUGA